rnacentral:rRNA from 1 species
CCCUUAGACGUUCUGGGCCGCACGCGCGUUACACUGAUGCAUUCAACGAGCUUAUAACCUUGGCCGAGAGGCCUGGGCAAUCUUGUUAACGUGCAUCGUGAUAGGGAUAGAUUAUUGAAAUUAUUAAUCUUGAACGAGGAAUUCCUAGUAAACGCAGAUCAUCAAUCUGCAUUGAUUACGUCCCUGCCCUUUGUACACACCGCCCGUCGCACCUACCGAUUGGAUGGUCCGGUGAAGCCUCGGGAUUGUGGUUCUUGCCGCUUUAUUGUGGCGUGACCGCGAGAACUUGUCUAAACCUUAUCAUCUAGAGGAAGGUGAAGUCGUAACA